rnacentral:rRNA from 1 species
UACGUAGGGUGCGAGCGUUGUCCGGAAUUACUGGGCGUAAAGAGCUCGUAGGUGGUUUGUCGCGUUGUCCGUGAAAACUCACAGCUCAACUGUGGGCGUGCGGGCGAUACGGGCAGACUGGAGUACUGCAGGGGAGACUGGAAUUCCUGGUGUAGCGGUGGAAUGCGCAGAUAUCAGGAGGAACACCGGUGGCGAAGGCGGGGAUCCUGGCCGUAGGUCGAAGCUG